rnacentral:rRNA from 1 species
CCAAUAGCGUAUAUUAAAGUUGUUGCAGUUAAAAAGCUCGUAGUUGAACUUCGGGAUUUGCCCAUUGGUCAGGCUUAACUGUCUGCACUGGUGUGACGAGUUCCUACCUUCUGAGGAAUCUCCAUGUCAUUCAGUUGGUGUGGGGGGAAAUCAGGACUGUUACUUUGAAAAAAUUAGGGUGUUUAAAGCAGGCAUCCGUCUGAAUACAUUAGCAUGGAAUAAUAAAAUAGGACGGUUUGGUUCUAUUUUGUUGGUUUCUAGGAUCACCGUAAUGAUUAAUAGGGAUAGUUGGGGGCAUUAGUAUUCAAUUGUCAGAGGUGAAAUUCUUGGAUUUAUUGAAGACUAACUACUGCGAAAGCAUUUGCCAAGGAUGUUUUCAUUAAUCAAGAACGAAAGUUAGGGGAUCGAAGACGAUCAGAUACCGUCGUAGUCUUAACCAUAAACUAUGCCGACUAGGGAUCGGACGAAGUUAAUUUUUUAAUGACUCGUUCGGCACCUUACG